rnacentral:rRNA from 1 species
UACAGAGACUGCAAGCGUUGUUCGGAUUCACUGGGCGUAAAGGGUGCGCAGGCGGCCGGGUGUGUCGGGUGUGAAAGCUCGAGGCUUAACCUCGAAACUGCGCCCGAAACUAUCCGGCUAGAGUACUGGAGAGGGAAGCGGAAUUCACGGUGUAGCAGUGAAAUGCGUAGAUAUCGUGAGGAACACCAAUGGCGAAGGCAGCUUCCUGGACAGUUACUGACGCUCAGGCACGAAAGCGUCGGGAGCAAAAGGG